UCCGAGUUGACCCCGGCUGUCCCCGCCAUGUCAAGCCCUGGUAAGGUUCUUCGCGUCGCUUCGAAUUAAACCGCACGCUCCGCUGCUUGUGCGGGCCCCCGUCAAUUCCUUUGAGUUUUAACCUUGCGGUCGUAGUCCCCAGGCGGAGUACUUAUCGCGUUAGCUUCGUUACCGAGGGGGUCGAUACCCCCGACAACUAGUACUCAUCGUUUACGGCGUGGACUAC
rnacentral:misc_RNA from 1 species